rnacentral:rRNA from 1 species
UCCACGCAGUAAACGAUGAAUGUUAGUCGUCGGGGGCCUCGUGUCUUCGGUGAUGCAGCUAACGCAUUAAACAUUCCGCCUGGGGAGUACGGUCGCAAGAUUAAAACUCAAAGGAAUAGACGGGGACCCGCACAAGUGGUGGAGCAUGUGGUUUAAUUCGAAGAUACGCGAAGAACCUUACCUAGCCUUGACAUUGAUUGAAUACUUUAGAGAUAGAGUAGUGCCCUUCGGGG